GCAGCACAUGUGACCGAAGCACGACUCGUGUCCCACAGGGACGUGGCAGCACCCGACACCUCUACAGCCCGGACUAGCGGCAGAAGGAUAAGGUCUCAAAGCACAACUCAACAAUCCUCCUUUGGUCUAGAAGAGAUGAAAUUGAAGGAAAUUUAAUGCAAACAUUUUUAACAUAAUUCACAGUCAUGGUUUUUGUGUACCACUCCAUAAAGGAAAUGUCUUUGUCCCUCCUUGUGUCACUUCAAUGGUGACUCAGACUUGUAGCUAGAAAUCCCAGACUUCAGCAGUGGAAGAUGUUGUGCU